CCUACGGGUGGCAGCAGUGAGGAAUAUUGGUCAAUGGGCGCGAGCCUGAACCAGCCAAGUAGCGUGAAGGAUGACUGCCCUACGGGUUGUAAACUUCUUUUAUAAAGGAAUAAAGUGAGGCACGGGUGCAUGUUUGUAUGUACUUUAUGAAUAAGGAUCGGCUAACUCCGUGCCAGCAGCCGCGGUAAUACGGAGGAUCCGAGCGUUAUCCGGAUUUAUUGGGUUUAACGGGAGCGUAGAGGGUUUGUUAGGUCAGUUUUGAAAGUUUGCGGCUCAACCGUAAAGUUGCAAUUGAUACGGGCCGUCUUGAGUACAGUUGAGGUCGGCGGAAUUCGUUGUGUAGCGGUGAAAUGCUUAGAUAUCACGAAGAACUCCGAUUGCGAAGGCAGCUUACUAAACUGCCACUGACAUUGAUGCUCGAAAGUGUGGGUAUCAAACAGGAUUAGAUACCCCAGUAGUC
rnacentral:rRNA from 1 species